CCGAGCCCUGGCGCCCGCGGCAGUCGGUGCCUGGAGGCCAGCUGCCCCUCGGGGGUCCCCGCCCGUUGGCAGUGCCCUCUGCGCAGUAUCGAGGAGCCUUCGCAAAGCGCUUGGGCCGCACAACUCUUCCCGUGCGCUGUUUUCUGAGAGUGUUGGUCUGCAUCUCCAGUCGCAAAGCUGUACCCUGAGAUGCACCAUUCCUGGCUAAUUUCACAUGUCACACAUGAGAAAAAGUCCUUUUGGAGGAAGAUUAGCCCUGAA